UCUCUCAUCGAAUGGCACUGGCAUGAAAGAUGACAGAUGGUUGUCGAUGAAAGAUGAGAGAUAGUUUGUGCAAUGGCAUUGUAACUUGUACAUAUGCUACCAUAUUCGUUUAGGCUGAAGGGGAAGAAGAUGCAGAGCGUUGAGGGGGAAGAGAUUGGUGUUCGUGGGCGACUCACUGAACCGCAACAUGUGGGAAUCGCUGCUCUGCAUCCUGAGGCACCCUCUGAAGAGGAAGCACCGCGUUUUGGAGGUGUCCGGGAAGGAGGAGUUCGGAACCGACAAUUCGUGAGCUUUUCGAUUCGAAGCACGCAGCGCUACACCUCCUUCACGGAUAUCAUCCAUCUCCCCUUCUCUCUUUGUCGUCGGUGGUGGGUUUCGUUCAUGCACCUCCUGCUCACGAGCCGCGCAGGACUACAACCGUUACAUAUGGUAACCAUAGUAUUUUUCCUCUAUGAAAAAGAAAAAACCGAGACACUCCUUCGCCAUUCGCAAGAGGUAACUUCUUCGUCAAUGAACCCCACAAUCAUCAUGAAAUUUCAUCAAGAAAGGAGAAGAGCAUGAAGCUCUGCUGCGACGCUUCCUUGUUUGCUUCCUUGUAUGACUGUAGACUCAUCCUUUCUCCCUUCACAUUACGUUUUGUUCUUCUCCUCCCCUCUUUCUUUCAUUCGAUUUGUCCUGACCUUAUCCUAUUGAGUUCGAUUGCAGAGAAUAAGUAAGUCGGAUCAUCCGGAGGCCACGCGGAUCAGGACUAGGCCUUCUUUGGAAGCCUAAGCAAUCUGUUAACACAACCACUUUCUGCUUAAAGCUCCAUAUCUCUGCCUGUUUGAUUAUGUAUGUUUUUUUAUCAGAUUUACAGAGUACGCAAGAAGGAUUUUUGCAUUUAGUGGAUUAUGCAAUCAGUUUCAUUUAUUAUGACCGCAUAAGAUCGAGGUUUAUCUGACUUCCGUCUCCAUUUACUGGGCAGAGAGCUUUUGCAAGCUCCGAGAGUGGUGUAACUUUGACAUGGCGAUGGAAGAUUCAGUUCGAAAAGUGAUGAAUGAGAAACUGGAGCAUGUGAUUCCUUAAAUUUUAAAUCAAACUGACAAUAUCAUGUGCCAGCAAGCAAACGGCAUGGCAGGAUUGCUCACACUAGUCAGUUGGCAAGGUAGGACAUGUAAAACCCUAACUUUUGUGCAAUCAUGUUGAUUAUAAAGUAUUUACUGUUUCUCUGUAAUUUUUAAUAAAAAUGGAGGGAGCCAUUGCCCAUCUAGACUGUCACCUUGUUCAUUUUUUUCUUCUCUUCAGUUUUUAUUGUCCAAUUGGGACUAACACCUGAAACCACUGCCACAAGUAUUUGAACUUAGGAACUCUUCAAAGACAGAGGGAUGCAAACUUGUAGUCCAAGGUCCAAUUGUUUAACAGACAGUUAAUGUGUGUUGGCAUAGGAGAAUUUUGUGUUACUGUUUGUUAUUUAACUCGGGAGGGACCAAAUUUCACUGCAGAUCUGUGCCUACUGAAGAUGUCCAGCCAGCAUCAGACUUGCAACUUGUCUUCACAAAGAGAAACUCUUACUUCCAAUCUUCAGCAAAGAUGUGAUCAAAUACGAUGAUCAUAAUCAACUCCAAGUUUCCCUUAUGCAAAUCAAACAUGGUCAGAGUUCUGUAUUUUCGCUUCACUCACCUAUCAAAGUAGAAAUAGUGGUCCUUGAUGGAUAUUUCCCCAGAGAAAAUAGUCAGGACUGGAACACUGACAAGUUCAAAGCAGCAUAUCAGAAGAACGGUAGAGUAGGAGAUCAUUGCUUCUAGAAGAGAGCAAGGCCGCAUUACAUCAAGGCAUAGCUCCCUUUGGAACACUUCAGGUCAUCGAUAACUCGAGUUGGGUAAAGGAUGGGAAAUUUAGACUAGGAGUCUGUGUUUCUUCAGGCAGCUAUGCAGGACCAAGGAUUAAAGAAGCAAUAACAAAUAGUUUCCAGGUUUUCGAUCAUCGAAGCAAAUUGAAUCAGAAGUCGCAUCCCCCAUCUCUUGAUCACGAAGCAUGGAGGCUACUCAAUAUUAGCAGGAAUGGAGCAUUUCACAGGAGGCUGGAUGCUGCUGGAAUUAAGACCAUGCAUGAUUUCUUGAAGCUUUCAAUUGUUGAUCGGCAACACCUCUGCAACGCUUCCGAGAUAUUAUAAAUAUGUCAGACAAGAAGUGGGAAGAAACAAUAAGACAUGUAAGGAUCUGCAGAAUGGGAGAUGAUUUAUACUUGUAUCAAACGCCUCACUCUCAAGUUGAACCCUACUUGCGAAGUUUGUGAGGUCAAGCUUGUCUACGAGGCAUACCAAAAUUGGAACCGUUCGGAGAGAGUUGUGGGGAUGCUUAAUACGAUUGGAGCACAAAAACAAGAGUAAAAACUAUUAGUUUCUUGUCAGCUGCAGUGUACUCAUGUGCAUGUGGCCAUACACAUUAGUAAGGGAGCAUAUCCUGAUCUGCUUUCUAGAUUCUAUGCAAGAAUGUGAACUAGAAUCCGAUGAACGUAGGUGCAGUGAUCCGCAGGCAAUGUGGCUCCACAGCUUGGAGCUUGAACAGCUUCCUUCACAGCAGAGAGUGAAUACAAACAACAUCUUGGGUACAUUAGCUUGAACUGGUAUGACAUUACCUAAAUUAUAUGGUGCUCAAUUGCUUUGCAGGCCGGUGCAGAAAACCAAACUGUAACUCGUCGAUUCCAAUGGAGGAACCAUGGAUGCACGACAACAAAGGUGGACUAGCGACAUGUUGCAGUCCCACCUGACCACAGUGUGGCUCACCAGACGAAGUAGAUAUUAGAGAUCUUUGGCAAUAGAAAAAGCUGAUGAAUCAUUUCCAGUGUUGGUUGAAACGUUGUAUGUUCUCUUUGAGGCUUCUCAUCAUUCAAGGAGUCGAAUCCAUUGCAGUAUUCACAUUGUUGUAUUGCUUUGGGUUUGUAGUCAAAUUAAACAAGCAUCAUAUGGGAUCUGUUCAAAGGUUAUAGCAUCUAAGCCCUGUUUACGAUUGUGUUCUAUGGUAUCGUCGGGGUAGUAUUUUCAAAAUUG